AUGAGCUCGACGGACUCCUCCUCGGAGACAUCAGACUCGGACUCAUCGGACCUCCGGCCGGCGACCAGCGUCGGCGCCCGCCGCCUGUUCGACCGAAUGCCUCCGGGGAUCGACUGCAUCGGCGCCCUCCCGGACGGGAUCCUCCACCACAUCCUGUCCUUCCUCCCGGCGCAGGAGGCGGUGCGGACGUGCGUGCUCGCCCAGCGCUGGCGCCACCUCUGGAAGUGCACCACUGGCCUGCGCAUCGUCGGCAAUAAGGGUCCUUUCUGGCGUUGGCUAAAUGGCCUGCUCUUUGUCUCUCGGUGUCUGAGGACAUUGGUCCUUUCUGGUGUUGGCUUACAAGGAACUACUCUUGAUUUUUCUAGCUGCCCAGCAUUGGAGGAUCUCACGAUUGGUUUCUCUGUCAUCAAUGUUGGCAAGAUAUCGUCCCUGUCCCUGAAGUGUUUGAGUAUCUUUCGUUGCCGAUCCUAUCUGGAUGACCGGGUCCGAGUUUCUGCUCCAUGCGUUGUAUCACUGAAACUAUUGGGGUUUUCAGGUAUUACCCCUUUGCUUGAAAGCAUGCCAUUGUUAGAGACAGCAUUUCUGACUCUUGGCGCUCACGGGCACCAUACCUCACAAGAUAUCUGUCAGAAAUAUAGCCAAUCUGGGGUGUACUGUGGCGCUAAACAUGAUGCAUGUACGAACUGUCAUGCAAAUAAUGAUGGCAGCAGAAAUUGUGUGGUUCUCGGUGCUAUCUCUAAUGCUAAGCAUUUGGAGUUGAUAUCUUCGUUUGGAACGGUUAUUUUUACAAGGGAUUUGAAAUGGUGCCCUACAUUCGACAAACUAAAGAAUCUAAUACUCAAUGACUACUGGUGCAUGGGCCCUAGCUUUGAUGCUCUAAGUUGCAUUCUCAAACACUCGCCCGUUCUAGAGAAGCUCAGUCUUCAUCUUUUCAAGGGACUAAGAGCUAAUGUUAAAAUGAAAGGAAGCUACAGUUCAAUGGAGAGAUCUUCUGUGAUAUCUGAACACCUAAAGGUAGUCGAUGUCAAGUGUUCUGUUGUUGAUGAGAACGUUGUCGAAGUUCUGAAGUUCCUGUGUACACUUAACAUACGAUUCUGUUUCGUGUAA
rnacentral:rRNA from 1 species